rnacentral:rRNA from 1 species
AUUGAACGCUGGCGGCAUGCCUUACACAUGCAAGUCGAACGGCAGCACGGGUGCUUGCACCUGGUGGCGAGUGGCGAACGGGUGAGUAAUACAUCGGAACGUACCUUAUCGUGGGGGAUAACAAAUUGAAAAAUUUGCUAAUACCGCAUAAUACUCUGAGGAGGAAAGCGGGGGAUUCGUAAGAACCUCGUGCGAUUAGAGCGGCCGAUGGCUGAUUAGCUAGUUGGUGAGGUAAAGGCCCACCAAGGCAACGAUCAGUAGCAGGUCUGAGAGGAUGAUCUGCCACACUGGAACUGAGAAACGGUCCAGACUCCUACGGGAGGCAGCAGUGGGGAAUUUUGGACAAUGGGCGCAAGCCUGAUCCAGCCAUUCCGCGUGCAGGACGAAGGCCUUCGGGUUGUAAACUGCUUUUGUACGGAACGAAAAGGUCCUGGUUAAUACCCGGGGCUCAUGACGGUACCGUAAGAAUAAGCACCGGCUAACUACGUGCCAGCCGCCGCAGUAA